CCUUGUAGGAGUAAAGGGAA
rnacentral:miRNA from 1 species